GGAAAGGAGAAGAAUGAAGAGUUGGAUGUGGAGUUUUUCUUGGGAGAAAGCACAGAUCCCCCCACUGAGGUCAUCACCAAUGGUGUUUUGGUGGCUCACCCUUGUCUGUGUGUCCAAGGCACUGUGGAUAAAAGUGAGAAAAGCCAGUGGUUAAUACAGGGUAAGUCUACCUGUGCUUUGUCAUGCCCCAUCCUCUUGAGGGUCUGCAUGCGGAGCAAUAGGGAGGAAUCUACUUC
rnacentral:lncRNA from 1 species